rnacentral:tRNA from 1 species
ACCUGACUGGCUCAGUCAGUAGAACAUGUGACUCUUGAUCUCAAGGUUAUGAGUUCAGGCCCCAUGUUGGGCA